rnacentral:rRNA from 1 species
AUGUGUAUCCGUUAUUACAGCAUAUAUAAAUCACUAGACCGAGCUGCUCGGGGACGUGGCGUCGGCCGCGACCUGCGAGGUCUGCGCCGACUUGAGCAUGAACCCUCCGACGCUGCCGCCGGCGCCGCGGCCCGGCCUGCUGCUGGAGUCCUCGUCGGUGUAGGCGUACGCGAACCCACCGUGCCGCGUCUGGUCCAUGCCGGCCAUCUCGUCCUCGGCGGAGAUGCGCAGCAGCCCCAGCUUGUUGAGCGCCAGGAACAGCGGGCCCAUGGUGCAGCUCACCCACGCCGCGAUCACCAGGAUCAGCACCACGUGCGCGCCCAGCAGCCGCCCUCCGCCGCCCAUGAACAGCCCGUACGGCCGCCCCGGCGCGCCGUAGAUCUGCUCCACGUACUCCCUGCGCGCGAACAGCGCCGUGAAGAUGACGCCCCACGCGCCGCACCCGCCGUGCAGCUGCGCCGCCUCCAGCGGGUCGUCGAACUUGAACCUGGCGGCCAGCUUGUUCAGCCCGAUGAGCACCCACGCCGACACGAACCCGCAGAUGAUCGCCGCCCACGGGUCCACCACGGAGCACCCCGCGGUGAUCGCCGCGAAGCCGCCCAGGAGGCCGUUGCAGACGUCCAGCACGUUCCAGUGCCCCGUCUGGAGCCUCUUCCCGAACAGCGUCGUCAGCGCCGCCGUGCUGCCGGCGAGGGUGGUCGUCACGGCCGCGCGGCCUACCGCCGACCACUGCCCGUGGAUGCUGCCGGGCGGGCCGUAGGACUUGAGGAUGGUGAGGAACGAGCCGGGGUUGAACCCGUACCAGCCAAACCACAGCAAGAAGGUGCCCAGGACGACGAGCGACGCGCUGUGCCCGCGCAGCGCCACCGCUCGUCCGGCGUGGUCGAACCGCCCAAUGCGGGGGCCCUCGAUGAGCGCGCCCCAGAGCCCGGCCACGCCGCCGACCAUGUGGACAACCCCGGACCCGGCGAAGUCGAUGACGCCGGAGUUGAAGAGCAACGGCCCCGACGUCCGGGAGGCGGAGGCCCAGCCGUCGGCGGACCAGAUCCAGUGGGACACCACAGGGUAGACGAAGCCGGUGAGGAAGGCCGAGUAGAUGAGGUAGGCCACGAACUGCGUCCGCUCCGCGAUGGAGCCGGAGGUUAUCCCGGCCGCGGCGAUGGCGAAGGCCCACUGGAAGAGGAAGAAGCUGUAGUCGAAGCCGACCUGGGGAACGUCACGGAGGCCGAAGAAGUGCUUCCCGAUGAAGCCGUUGGAGGGCGUACCGAAGGCGAAGGCGAAGCCGAAGAGGUAGUAGAAGAGCGCGCCGGCGGCGGCGUCGAGCACGUUGGUGAGCAUGAUGUUCAUGGUGUUCUUGGCCCGGACGGAGCCCGCGCAGAGCAUGGCGAAGCCGAGCUGCAUGGCGAACACCAGGUAGGCGGAGAAGAGCAGGUACGUCGAGUCGAUCGCCGUGGUGGUGUCCGCGAACUGGUUGCACAGGUAGUCCGUCGCGUUCGCCGCCGCCGUGCCCAGCAGCGGCGCCAGGCUCGCGGCGCACGUCGACAUCUUCGGCCGCCUUGCUUCCCUUGCCUUAUGACUACUCUGCUCAAGGAGCAAUGGCAGGUGCAGGUGUCUGAGAGGCGCGGCGCGAGAUGGAGGUGCAAACGGAGCGGACGGAUUUAUAGGCGAGACGGCAGCAGCGCCGGUAGCCAACCCGUUCAGUUUCUGCUUGGGCCUACCUGCCAGUGA